UUGCAUAAAAAAAUACUUCGGAGCGUCUAUCAAGCCUAUGAUUAUUCGUUUGGUAAUAAAUAAUUAAAUAAAUUAGAUUUUAAAACUUAUUUAUACUCAGUUAAAUUAAUAAUGUUAAUAAAAUUAUUUUUUUAUAUAAAAAAUCGAAAUUGCUCUUAAAUAGAGGGAGAUAUACAUAAUUUUUAAAAUUUUUUUAUGGUUGUUGUUGCCGUCGG
rnacentral:lncRNA from 1 species